rnacentral:lncRNA from 1 species
GGGCAGCUCGGGUUAAUAUAUGUCGUCAGAGGCUCCUCACGCCAAUCCCGGGGCGGCGGGGGCGGCGCCUCGCGCUCUCCGCAAUAAAACUUUUUGAUGUUCACGUUGCUAAUUGCCGAGGUCCUCUUCUAGGAUUGGUUGUCCACUCAUAACCAUAAGAUAAUUAAAACAAGGGGGGAGGGUUAAAAAAAAACCUUUUUAUCAGCCAUAGGUUAAUGCAAGUGUUUAACAGAUGCUUCGCUAUUAAAAUAUCCCCCCCCAUGGAAGAAUCUCAAACCAGCAACCCCAACAGAGACUUCGGAGGUUUUCAAAGUGGGGCACCUCGAUUUCUCGAAUUUGUGGUGUGGCAAGUACCCGUGUUCCGCUGGUUUAACUAGCCUGUUUGAAGGCACAGUUCAUUUUCGAGCAAGAACAACGAAACCAGCUUCACUUCCUGUUUUUUUUUUUUUUUUUUUUUUUUUUCCUCUUGCCAUCUACAGAAGAGUGUGACUUCAGAAAGAUACUUCAGGUUGGCCAAGGCACAUCUCAGACUAGACUCCGGGAAAAGAGCAGACUCAAGGGCUCAAGCAGUCAGGGUCUCUGGUGAGAGCGCCCCUAGUGUCAUUUUACUGUCUCUGCUCUUGACACUUCCCUUUGAUAGAGGUUACAAAGCUGGCCAAAGACUACCAACUUCCAAAACUUGGGCUUUCAAUCUUAAGCCGGGUUGGAAUUUUGGACUAGAUCAACCUGCCAUUCGCCAAGUUACAAGGAGAGCGUGAGAUGGGUGCUGGCAGUAGACAGGCCAGCAUGUCUCCAAAUGUGGGCUCUGGCACCUUUUGACUUGCCAACCUCUUUGACAAACAGCCCACCUUCCCAAGCUAGAGAAGAAUCAAUACUUCAUUGUUGCCUCUAGAUCCUUCCUGAAUGCUUCCACAUCACAGGAGUCCUCCUUCUGCACUCGAAUCAAGCGCCCCCCUCCCGUUUUCUGAACUCCUUUCUGGUGGGGUCAUACAAAUAACUCUUGCAGUUCUCUGAGCACACAGCUUUCACUUCUGUCCUGUAAAAAUGCAACUAAUGUUUUUGCACAAAAAGAUGCCCCAACAGCCCGUGGGAAGGCGCUUUAGAGAAACCGGGACGUUCUAAUUGCAAUCAGGUUGUUUUAUUCUAUUUGAAGACCGUUAGAGCCGGUAAGCGACUUGCAAAUUA